UACAGAGGUCUCAAGCGUUGUUCGGAUUCAUUGGGCGUAAAGGGUGCGUAGGCGGCGCGGUAAGUCGGGUGUGAAAUCUCGGGGCUUAACUCCGAAACUGCAUUCGAUACUGCCGUGCUUGAGGACUGGAGAGGAGACUGGAAUUUACGGUGUAGCGGUGAAAUGCAUAGAUAUCGUAAGGAAGACCAGUGGCGAAGGCGGGUCUCUGGACAGUUCCUGACGCUGAGGCACGAAGGUCAGGGGAGCAAACGGG
rnacentral:rRNA from 1 species